CAUUAUGAUGACAUCAUAACUUUUUGCCUUGAUAGUUGAUAGGGAGUGCUGACAGCAUUAUUUGAGGAAUUGUUAGCAUUGUUUAGGUGGUGUUUGGGUUGCCUGGACUGAGAAGGAAGUUUCGUGUUUGACCAUGUAAAAUAUAGUUUUAAGUUUUUUUUUGUGUGUGUGUGUGUGUGUGUUAAAUUUGAAAGCAGAUUCAGCCACAGGUAUUUGUUUGAGAACAAAUGAAACUGCUGCCUAUGAGUUAAAUGUUACAGUUACAGUUCUUUGUAGACUAAGUAAAAUUGAAGAGAACCUAUUGAAGAAAGUUCAAAAGAAAUUUCAAGAGAAUUUUUUAGGUUGUGUUUGGAUCUUGGAUUUAGUGAGAGAUUUGUGAAGGGAAUAGAAAAAAGGGAGGGAAAAAUGAAUGAAAUAGGUACUAAUUUUUUUAAAUAUAAAUCUCUUCCCCGUUUAUUUGACCUCCACAAAUCCAAGAUCCUAACAUACCCAUUGUCAAUUGACAAUCCUUACAAAGGGUGAACUGAUGCUCUACAGGAAGUGACCUUUUGGGAUAUAAAAAUGAAAAAUGAAGCUUAUAGGCUUACAAGGUCAGAUUCAAGUUUCUCCAGAAAUUCACCUAUAUGCAGCUUGGAAAGAUUGUCUUCUCAUAGUAAUGUCAAUCUUCAGUGUUAUUGGGUGACCUCUAGACAAGCUUAGCAAACAGAGGACAGUGAAGUUGAAAUGUUUGGGGAAAUCAGAUUGCUUUGGCUAGUAUUUAUGAUUUGUUUGUGCACUUGUUUUUUUUGGAAAAUUAAUCGUGAGCGAAUGAAUUACUAGAAAACAAAUCGUAAAACUUGUCUGACCUGGUGGAUUUUGGUAAGAUGAAUCACUUAGGAUAACUAACAGGACACUGAAUUUUUAAUCAAAUUAUAUGAUGCUUAUCAUUGUCAAUGUUUUACUUUGCAGGUCAUUUGAUGCGAGAGAGACUAGAUAUAAGACGAGCAAAACAUAGGAGAGAAAUGGUUGAGCUGCCUAUAGGUAGCCAGAAUGUAUGAAGUCUACAUCACUAAGGAGAGGAUCUAAAUUCCAAGCAGACCCAAAUCCUCAUGCCUCAUAUGAAGUCAGCUUGGACGUACAAUUAUCCCUCCUCUGUCCAGAUUAGAGGCGACAUCUGGACCCACAUGUCUUCGUGAAGUUGUUUUGACAUGGUUUAGUUGAUUUUCGAGAGGUAUUAACAUGGGAUUGUUUAUCCAACCACUUAAAUUAUACCACCAAAUUGAAGGCCUAUUCCUAUUUACAAGUAAA